GGGAAGGUGGCUCAGUGGUAGAGUGCUUGCCUUGCAUGCAGAAGGCUCUGGGUUCAAUUCCUCAUCACCA
rnacentral:tRNA from 1 species